rnacentral:rRNA from 1 species
CUCGUAGGUGGUCCGCCACGUCUGCUGUGAAAAUCCAGGGCUUAACCCCGGACCUGCAGUGGAUACGGGCGAACUAGAGGUAGGUAGGGGAGAAUGGAAUUCCCGGUGUAGCGGUGAAAUGCGCAGAUAUCGGGAGGAACACCGGUGGCGAAGGCGGUUCUCUGGGCCUUACCUGACACUGAGGAGCGAAAGCGUGGGGAGCGAACAGGAUUAGAUACCCUGGUAGUCCACGCCGUAAACGUUGGGCGCUAGGUGUGGGGUCCUUCCACGGAUUCCGUGCCGCAGCUAACGCAUUAAGCGCCCCGCCUGGGGAGUACGGCCGCAAGGCUAAA